rnacentral:rRNA from 1 species
UUUGAUCCUGGCUCAGAUUGAACGCUGGCGGCAGGCCUAACACAUGCAAGUCGAGCGGAAACGAGUUAUCUGAACCUUCGGGGAACGAUAACGGCGUCGAGCGGCGGACGGGUGAGUAAUGCCUAGGAAAUUGCCUUGAUGUGGGGGAUAACCAUUGGAAACGAUGGCUAAUACCGCAUAAUGCCUACGGGCCAAAGAGGGGGACCUUAGGGCCUCUCGCGUCAAGAUAUGCCUAGGUGGGAUUAGCUAGUUGGUGAGGUAAUGGCUCACCAAGGCGACGAUCCCUAGCUGGUCUGAGAGGAUGAUCAGCCACACUGGAACUGAGACACGGUCCAGACUCCUACGGGAGGCAGCAGUGGGGAAUAUUGCACAAUGGGCGAAAGCCUGAUGCAGCCAUGCCGCGUGUAUGAAGAAGGCCUUCGGGUUGUAAAGUACUUUCAGUUGUGAGGAAGGGGGUGUCGUUAAUAGC